GUCAUAAUCUGUGCUGUUUUUUUGGAAUUGGUCAUGGCUGCGGCGUACCUAUGUUGUUCUUAUGCUUGAAAAAUUGUUGUGAAUAAAAAAUAGAAAUCCCUUUUUUAAAAUGGGUGCAUCCACUAAAUUCAUAUCUGAUUAUUGUAAAACGUGGGAAAAAUCGGGACGAGAUCAAUUUAUAAAAUCAGUUACACAAUACGUAAAAGAUGAGGGAAAGACGCCCUUAUUUUCAAAAUCCGGAAAACUAUCUGGAUUAUCUCAAAGCAUUUAUGAUUUGUUAUCAUGUGGUCUUCGGGGCUUGUUGAAAAAGGACUCUGUUAUUUCUGUGCUGAAAGAUAUAAUUGUUUCGCAUGCAGACCUACCAUCCAUAUUAUUAGAUGUAGUAUGCAUACUUGACUCCGAAACAUCUAUGGAUAUUCACAGUGAAGAGCGAAGUAACUUUUGUUAUUUAGUAAGAGAGUUGGAAUCGAUUAUAUCUGACAAAUUAUUAAAGGAGCGCUUAGAAAUCGACACAUUACAAGAUGUUGGUACCUUGAAAAAUAAAAACUUUUAUACAAAAUUUAUUAAAAUAAAAACUAAGUUGUAUUAUAAGCAACGUAAGUUCAACUUAUUUAGAGAAGAAAGUGAAGGAUAUUCUAAGCUUAUUGUGGAAUUGAAUCAGGAAAUUUCAGAAAACACUGACUGGAAAACUAUACUUGAAAUUAUUCAGUCUCUUAUAGGUUGCUUCAACUUGGAUCCUAACAGAGUCCUUGACAUUAUUUUAGAAUCUUUUGAGGCACGGCCGAACUUAGAUAAAUUAUUUAUUUCACUGAUUAAGAACUACAUGGGGGAUCCCCAAGUAAUUUCAGAAGUAUUAGGUUUUAAAUUAGGUAACAUGGAAGUCUUAGAAAGUUAUAAGGAACCACCUGCACUAAUGACUGUGAUAGCUUUACUUUUACAACAUGAAGUUAUAUCAUUAGAUGACAUUUAUCCAUGGUUACGUCCAGACGACACACUAAUGGCCAAAGAAGCUGACAAGGAAUUAAAAGCAAUUCAAGAUUAUAUCCGGAAAUUAAAUAUUGUUUCUACUAAAGGACCUCAAAGUAAUGCACCAGCUGAAUUUAUUGAAGAAAAAGCUGAUCCCCAAGAAUACUGGAACAAUCAAAAACUAGUGCUCUGUGAAGCCCUUUUGAAUGUUACGGCUUGGAAAGAGUUUGCAGCACUAUCAGCUCGACUACCAACUACAAGUGUUGCACAACGCCCAGCUGUAGCCCUUUGUAAUAUGCUACAUGCUUUAGUUGAACCUCUUUAUAGAAAGCAUUGCCGUAUCGCUCCAAAAAUUAUAGGCAAACCAAUCCCACCACUAUUAUCAAGCCUUGCACCAACACCUUGCAAGAAUUUUGAAGAUAUGAAAGAAACGGUUAUACCAGCACUUGUACUGCUUGGACCAUCUCUUCAUUAUGAUCCUAUUUUAAUGUAUAAAAUAAUUCGUAUUCUACGAACUGCACGAACAUUAGUAGAAGACCCACUGCAUCAUGAAGCAUUAACGGUAUUAGAUACUGCCAUACUUCCAGCACUAACCUUAAUGGAAGGUAACUGUUGCAUGGCUGAAGAAGUUUACACUUUGCUGAAGUUAUACCCGUACCAAUGCAGAUAUUGUCUAUAUGCUCGCUGGAAGAAUGAGGCCGGUGAGAAAAUUCCGUCUUUGAUGCGCGUUCGCGGUAACUCUUUACAACGUAUCAAGCACAUUAUGAAACGAGUUUCUAAGGAAAAUAUUAAACCUCAGGGUCGUCUCAUUGGGAAACUGUCGCAUGCGGCAUCCGCUUUCCUCUUCGAUUACAUGCUUUUGCAGAUCCAAACGUACGACAACCUGAUCGGGCCCGUGGUGGAGUCGCUGAAGUAUCUGACGUCGCUGUCACUGGAUGUGCUGGGCUACUGCCUGGUGGAGGCGCUGGCGGCUCGGCGCGGCACGGUGGGCGCGGCGCACCCGCCAGCGCUGCAGGCUCUCGCUGCUUUCGCCGCCGCCGCCUUCAAGAAGCACAACAUCGAGCUCACUGCUCUGCUGCAGUUCGUUGCGAAUCGCUUGAAAGCGCAACAAAGUCAUGAUCUACUGAUUCUUAAAGAGAUAGUACAAAAGAUGGCAGGUAUAGAAGCUGCAGAGGAAAUUACACCUGAACAGCUGGAUGCCAUGGCCGGUGGAGAACUAUUAAAAGGAGAGGCGGGGUAUUUUUCACAAGUUAGAAAUACUAGGCGAUCAUCUGCUAGAUUAAAGGAGGCCGUGGUUGGAAAUAACCUUGACAUUGCUCUUUGUAUCUUAUCUGCACAACAAAGGCACUGCUGUGUUUGGAAAGAAUAUGCAGAAGACAGCCCCAGUUCUGGUGAGCCACCAGGCUCACAACUAAAAGUAGUGGGCCGUCUUGCAGACCAGUGUCAAGAUGCACUAGUCCAAUUGGGUACCUUUUUGGCCUCCUCGCAUGCACCUGACGAGUAUGCGGCUAGACUUCCUCCCCUUCAGGAAUUGUUACGAGAUUAUCAUGUUGAUGCUGAUGUGGCAUUCUUCCUACAUCGCCCAGUAUUAGCUCAGAAAAUUGCAGCAAAAGCAGAAGCAUUUAGAAAAAGUUCAGAUAGUAAAAGUGAAUCAAUGGAAAAAAGUAUAGAAAGAUAUAACAUUGCAUCCAGGGAGGCCUUGGAGCCAGUUGUGACUUCAAUAACACCUUUAUUGCCUAAUAAAGUAUGGGAAGAUAUAUCGCCUGAAUUUUAUGUUACUUUUUGGUCUCUAUCAAUGUAUGACCUUCGAGUUCCAGUAGAGAGUUAUGAAAGAGAAAUAGAACGUUUGAAAACUGCAGCCUCGAAUGCUGCCAAAGACACAUCGCAGGGAACAAAAGGAAAGAAGGAGCAGGAACGCUUCAACACGCUCAUUGAUAAACUACAGGAGGAGCGGCGGCGCCAGGAGGAGCACGUGUCGCGCGUGCGCGCGCGCCUGCAGCGCGAGUGCAGCGGCUGGUUCCCCGCGCGCGCCGCCAAGUCCGCCAAGAACGAGACCGUGACGCGCCUCAUGCAGCUGUGCCUGUUCCCGCGCUGCGUGUUCACGGCGCCCGACGCGCUGUACUGCGCCGAGUUCGUGCACACCGUGCACGCGCUCAAGACGCCCAACUUCUCCACGUUGCUGUGCUACGACAGGCUGUUCUGCGACAUCACGUACUCCGUGAUGUCGUGCACGGAGGGCGAGGCGGCGCGCUACGGGCAGUUCCUGUGCCGCGUGCUGCGCACGGCCAUGCGCUGGCACGCCGACUGCGCCGCCUUCCACAGCGAGUGCGCGCACUAUCCCGGCUUCGUCACCAAGUAUCGUGUCUCCAAUCAGUUCACCGAGGCCAAUGACCACGUCGGAUACGAGAACUACAGGCACGUGUGUCACAAAUGGCAUUACAAGAUUACGAAGGCCAUGGUGGUCUGCCUGGACUCGGGCGACUACGUGCAAAUCCGCAACGCGCUCAUCGUACUUAUCCGCAUCCUGCCACACUUCCCCGUGCUCGCCAAGCUCGCGCAGAUCAUAGAGAAGAAGGUCGAGAAGGUUAAAGAAGAAGAGAAAACGCAGAGACAGGACUUAUAUGUUCUUGCAACCGGUUACAGCGGCCAGUUACGAAACAAAGUUCCUAUGAUGAAAGAGAGUGACUUUCACCAGAUCGUCAACUUGCAGGUGAGCGCGACGGGCGCGGCGGGCGCGGCGGGUGCGGCGGGGGCAGGCGGCGCGGGGGGCGCGGGCGGCGCGACGCGGGACGACGCGCCCAAGCUGCGGGACGACGAAAUGCAGCCCGCAGACGUCGAAAAGAAGGAGACGAGGACGAGUGACAGACGUCGCGACGAUUCAGACCGAGAGAAGGAAUCCAAACGUGAAUCAAGAUCGUCUUUGAAGGAAAGAAACAAAGAGGAGAUACGAAGCAAAGACAGAUCUCCAAGAGACAGAUCACACAGAGAGGAACGUUAUUUGGAGUCCGUUUCACCGCCUCAUGAUCAUCGUCAUCCACCCGAUGACAUAGAUCGAGAUGUGAAACGUCGUAAAGUUGAAAGCAGCGGCAAUGGCAAGGUGAGUAACGUUAUAAUAAAUCGGCCUUGCAUCGCUCUAGCGCCGGACUGACGGUUGGGCUGCACGAGACAUGAAAAUCUCCUCUGCUAAAUCAUACUUGUGUACAAGAUGUGAACACUAUAAGACGCUCUGUGAAAAAACUCUAAGACUUCAGUGCUUAAAUUGUAAAUGUGCAGUUUAAAAUAAUAAUAGUUAAAUAAAUUUUGUCCUAAAAUAAAUAUGGACUUCAUCUAUUAAUCAAAUAACAAAAACUCAAGAUACUUCUCAUCAACAAUAACAAAUACAACUGAAGACCCUACUAUAAGAAGCAAAGAAGAUUUCGGACAAAGAAUUGAAGGGAAAUAAUAUCAAUAUGGGAACCGUAAACCAUUAUGUACAAUAUUAACGUAUAUUGUAAAUUUUGCAUGUGAAUGUUUACUUUAAUUUUAAUGGAUUCAAUUAUUUAUGUCUAAAUGAAGAAAAGUUUCACGCAAAGUCCAAUGUACGAUCUCAGGACACACCACAACCAAAAUGAGUAAUGAAGUUUGAAAUGAAAGCCUCCAAACUAUAUUUAAAAUACCCUGCGCUAUUUAAUAUUGAGCAGACGAUCUCAGGAUUAUGCUGAAAAUAACAGUUGGAGUUCAAUUUUUUUGAAGAAAGGAUAACCAAUGAUAUAAAAUUAAUGUGAAUUAAAUAUCUUUUUAAUCAAAAUAAAACAAAAGGAUCAAAAAUUCGUGUCGUAAGUUCCGUCAGCCCAGUCCAGUCCGCAGUCGAGCACCGGGUAGCAAAGAAAUAGAAGAGCGGUCACCAGAGAAGGAAAAGAGAAAGGCUAAACUAAGAGGGGAUGAAAGGAAAGAGCGUAAGAUGAGUCGAAAGCGGGAUCGAGCCGAAGAUUCAACUAUUUUAGAACAAAAGA